AUUUCCCUCACGCCUUUUUAAAGCCAUCUAGAUUGAUGGCCAACACAACAUCUUGUAGCAGUGAAUUCCAUAAUUCAACUACGCACUAUGUUUUGACUGCUCCUAUCUUCUACCUUCAGGUAGGUAGCCAUGUUGGUCUGACGCAGUAGAUAUAUAUAUAUAUGUGUGUGUGUGUGUGUGUGUGUGUGUGUGUCCAGUAGCACCUUAGAGACCAACUAAGUUUGUUCUUGGUAUGAGCUUAUGAGCUUUCGUGUGCAUGCUACUAAGGUGCUACUGAACCAUUAUUUUCUACCAUUCAGCUUCAUUGUAUGAACCCAGGUCCUGGUGUUGUGAGGGAGGAAACAAAGGUUGUGUGAAUUGUUUCUUUCACAACAUAUCCUGUUGGAGCUCAAGAUUGGGCACCUUUUAAUGUUGGAUGUGUGCAGUUAAAGUAAUCCUGGGUGCAAGCUGGUAAUAGUUCUCACAGUUUUGCUAUCAUAUUUGGUGGACUGGCUGGGCUAAUUCAUAAUAAGUAUCAGGAAAGGCUAGGCAAUAUGUUUGUCAUUGCUCAAGUAUUAAUGGCUCAAAAUGGAAGGAAACAGGAAUUUCCACCAGUAGAGAACUGGAAAUAAAAUAUAUGGCAUAGACUAGAGUGAUGUUGUAUAAGAUAAUGUAUUAUAUUAAAAAAUGUGGGAAGCAUGUGUGACAAUAAAAGACUCUCUGGAUUGUUGGCAGAAAUGUAUUCAGUGCUGAAAUCAAACAACAAAUUACAACAAUGUUGGGAAAGAAGUCUUGGAAAUGAUUUAAGUUACUAUGACAAUAAGCCAAUCUAUUAGUAACAGCAGUAGUAUUGAAAUAGCCAACAGAUAAUGCAAUUUAAAUAAAAAUGUGUGUAUGUAUACAUCCAGCUGAUAUAUUCAAAAAGAUAAUACUCUCUUUUUAAAGAAAAAAUGAAAAUAAUUUCUAUCAACGCUGCAGUCCCACUGAAAACUGCACAAACGGCAUUCAUUGGGGAAGGUCUGUAGUUCAGUGGUGCAGCAUCUAUGCAUAGAGAAGGUCCUAUGUUCAAUCCCUGGUACCUCCAGGUAAGGCUGGGAAGAAAUUCUGGGGAGCCACUGCCAGGCCAUACUGAGCUAGAGGGACCAAUGGUCUGAUUCAGUAUACGGCAGCUUCUGAUCUCUUUUCCUGUGUUGUUCAUGGCGCAGGCUCUGCUUUUGGCUGUCACCAACUUGUCUUCUUUGAUAACAGAGAGACCAACACCUACGAAUGCAAGUCUCCCUGGAUGCCCCCU